rnacentral:rRNA from 1 species
CAAGAGAGGGCCACGCUGCCAUCUUUCAGACCGCAUCGAACUCCUCCUUUCCGCCGCCGCCGCCGCCGCCGCAGCCAUUCAUGGCGAGGCGCCGCCGGGGAGGAUUCGAACAUUAAUCCAUGCUAUUCCCCACCCGUCCCUGUAAAUCCCAAGCUCCUGCCGCCGUAGCUGCUAUCUGCAGCCUCCGCCCCUCCUCCUCAUCGCCGGCGCUUAUUCCUUCCCCGUAUCACGACGACAACCCAUUCGCCUCACUACUCACUUCCGAUCCCCCUCCGCCGGAUCCGCUCCGCCAGGUUCUCGCCACGGGAGACGUCCACGGCGCGCUCCGCGGCCUCCCUGGCCUCGCUCGCCAGCUGUUCCGGUGGGCGGAGGGCACCCCUCACGGUUUCCCCCGCUCCGCCUCCGCAUUCGCCGCCGUCCUUGUCCCGCUCGCUGAGGCCAGGCGCAACCGCUCCGCUUAUCCCGUCUCCCUCCGCGCUAUCCAGGCUGGCCUUCUCCUUCCCCUCAUCUCUCUCCUCCUCACGUAUCCCCUGUCCCCCUCCUCCCACCACCUCCUCAACUUCCUCUUACGCAUGUCCACCAAGUUUGUGCCCGAAUGCCAAGCUCAGGACCCUGCGCCCACCAGCUGUUCGACACAAUGCCUUUCCGCCUUCCAAGAGAUGGCGCGUCAAGGUGUCGCCCCUUACGUCAAGGUGUGCAACUGCGUGCUCUCUGUGCUGUGCGACGCGGCCAGGUGGGACGACAUGCGUGCUGUGUAUUCAGAUAUGCUUCAGCUUGGGGUUGAGCCAUCCAUUGUCACAUACAAUACAUUGCUGGAUUCUUUUUGUAAGGCAGGGAGGAUCGAUCAGGCUGUCAUGCUGCUCAAGGAUAUGGAGGCCCAAGUUGCUGGCUGCUUGCCGAAUGAUGUCACCUAUAAUGUGGUGAUCAGUGGGCUGGCCAGGAAUGGUGAGCUGGACAAGGCGGCUCAACUGGUUGACAGAAUGCGGUUGUCCAAACAAGCGUCAGCCUUCACAUAUAAUCCACUUAUCAGUGGGUUGUUAGCAAGGGGUUUUGUUGAAAAGGCUGAUGCUUUGCAGCAGGAGAUGCAGAAUGAUGGCAUUGUGCCAACGGUGGUGACAUACAAUACAUUGAUUCAUGGGUUAUUUAAAAGAGGGAACGUGGAGGCGGCAGAGUUGAAAUUUCUGGAAAUGAGGGCAAUGGGGUUGCAGCCAGAUUUGAUUACUUACAAUUCCUUGAUAAAUGGACAUUGUAAGGCAUGUAAUUUGAAGCAGGCACUUUGGUUGCUUGGUGAUUUGAGACGUGCAGGGCUAGCACCGACAGUUAUGACAUAUAACAUCCUUAUAGAUGGCUAUUGUAGAUUAGGUAAUUUAGGGGGGGCUAUGAGAUUCAAGGAGGAGAUGAGAGCAGAGUGCUGCCUGCCCGAUGUUUGUACAUAUACUAUUCUUAUGAAUGGGUCAUGUAAGGUCAAGAACAUUGCUAUGGUAAGGGUGUUCUUUGAUGAAAUGCUGAGUAAGGGUUUAAAGCCAGACUGCUUUGCUUACAACACAAGGAUUUCAGCAGAGCUGACUCUAGGUGCUAUUUCCGAUGCUUUUCAGUUGAGGGAGGAGAUGAUGCCGAGUGGAAUUUCUUCCGAUACAGUUACAUAUAAUAUUCUUAUUGAUGGACUGUGCAAGGCUGGUAGCCUGAAAGAUGCCUAUGUGUUGUGGAUGAAGAUGGUCAGUGAUGGGUUACAACUUGACUGUGUCACAUACACUUGCUUGAUUCAUGCACAUUGUAAGUGGGGGCUUCUAAGGAAAGCAAAUAAUAUUUUUCGUGGCAUGGUUGCAAGUGGUUUGUCACCCUCGGCUGUGACCUAUACCAUUUUUAUUCACACAUACUGUAGGGUGGGAGAUCUUGAUUCAGCAUAUGGCUGGUUCCGGAAGAUGCUGGAAGAAGGAGUGGAACCUAAUGAAGUAACAUAUAAUGUGCUCAUGAAUGCACUAUGCCGGAUAGGGAGAACUGAAUUGGCUUAUCAAUAUUUUCAUGAGAUGCUGGAGAGAGGAUUGGUGCCAAACAAAUACACAUACACUUUGUUGAUAGACGGGAACUGUAAAGAAGGUAACUGGGUGGAGGCUGUAAGGCUGUACUGUGAAAUGCAUCAGAAAGGUAUUCAUCCAGACCAUUGUACACAUAAUGCCUUGUUUAAGGGAUUUGGUGAAGAUCACAUGCACGACACAAUUCAGUACUUGGAGAAUGUUGUUUUGGGUGCAUAGGACGGUCUUCAAGAAAGAUGACAGACGGAAUUUGGGGUGACACUCUGGAUAAAGGAGCUAUGUGAUUUCCAGACAGAUAACACAAACAGGUCCUUCUCUUGCUGUGUGAACUUCCUCACAAUUUCCCCCUGGUCAUAUGCUCAUGGUCAUGGAGAAACAACCCCCAUUGUUUUUUCUUUUCUUUCGAUAAGGCAUAAUGGAAAUCUUUUGACCAUGCCUCCCCAGUAUCUACUAUCUCAAAAGUGAAUGGCUAUGGACCUUUUGGGCCGAGCUUCAACAAUAACAUAUAGGCUUUCUCUUGGUAAGAUACUACCAAGAAUUUUGUAAAACGAAUAAUCCUUGUACCACAGAUUCACGGUCAAUUUUGCCAUAGUCAUCUGACACACACAUUGACUUGUCAGAUAUGUAACACUGUUCCCAUUCUUUGGAUCAUUUAAUGGAUUCUCUUCUUCUCAAUGAUUAGUAUGGUGGGUGGAGGGGAAUUUUUGUCUCAACUCUCAACCGGUAUCAGCCAAAACACUUCUAUUUAUGAGAUUGAACUGCAGUGCAACGGCCCUUUAAUUGAGCGAACCACCUUAGCAUUUUUUGUUUCAUUUAUUUGUGCUCUAAAGUCAUUGCAUAGCUUUUCUAUACUGCUGCUAGAUUGUGGAGCGGCUUGGCAGGAGGGGACUGCCGACCUACGGCAACUGCAUUCUUCUCAUUACACCGUGAAACCACCGAUCACCUUUUGACCGGUUUUGGAGGAAUUGCUGCCCUGGAGAGGUCUACUAGCCUGCACUCCAACGCUAGGGUGUGAAUUCGGUCCUUGGUGGAUUGAGAAACAUGAGGGGAUUCAACGCCUUUGUCCUGUUGAUAGCCUGGACAAUUUGGAUUUUUUUUUGAUAUGGUUUCCAGUGAAAAAGCCUAACCUGUUAAGCAGCUAGUGAGGACAGUCAAAGACUAUAAUGCGCUAGGUGGUGUGAGGCUGGCUAUAGCGAGAUGAGAAAGGCUGCUUGUUCGUGGUGGUUUAGCAGAAAUUAUUUAGCCUUCCCUAGCUAGCCAUGCUUCCGUAUGGUCUGUUUUUUUUCCCUCUUUCUUUUACCCUUUCUUCCUGUGGCUUGAUUCAAUCCAAAUUCGGCAGUUUGUUGCUCGGUUUGGGGCAAAGUUGUAAGUGUUGUUUCCUAUCCUAAUAUAAUGUCAUGCAGGCCUACUGCAUGUUCUCUAAAAAAGAGAGAUUAGAUUUGCAGUGCAAACCUGUUUAAUUCACCUACAGUAUGUCUUUCGGCGACUCUUCGAAUGGUCAAAUUCCAUCCAACUUCUACUCCUAGAAACGUUCCACGAGAUUAGGAUGAUAAUCGUGUGCAUAAGCCUGGGGUCAUCUAUGUUGGUUAGUAAGCUGAUCCAGUGAAUUCUGAUAUCUGGACCAUCUGAUUUAUUUUC